rnacentral:lncRNA from 1 species
CCUAUAUAUCCACUAUGAGGGUUGGCUGUCAUCUCAACCCAUCCUGACUUUCCCCUACACAUUCAAAACUCCACUACAGGUAUACUGCACCACGUGAAAGGAAAAAAAAACAACAGAAAGUAAUACACGUAAUACAAUAAUAAUCAUCUCAAAGUCAGGUAUUUGAGUAUGACGAUAGCAACUCAAUACCAUAAGUAAGCCUCGCAUGUCAAGUAUAUGGUAGUAUACAUCUCGACGCAUCUCUAAAUCUAAAGGCAUAUUUCCUAGACUUCCUGGUUCUGCUCUUGUUUAACCUAGUUUAUAAAUAACCACAACACGAGCUACAGUGCCCAAUAAGUAAAAUUCGACUCUCACACCAACAAAUAGAAAGGUUUACAACCAAAUUAGAGGAUACAUGCAUUUAUUCAGCCUAGGCUUCUAUCCCCCCCCCCCCCCCCUCCACAUCUAAUUAUUCCGUUUAUCCCUUUCCCUGACCCUUGGCCCUCCACUUCCUAUCCAUUUAUAUUCCAAUCUGUCAUAGAACAUUUCUUGCCCACUUUUUAUUCAUUUUUUUUCAAAUCUCACAUUCAUACUUGCUGUAAAUCUCCCCUUCUUCAUCCCAUUUUCCAGACAUCUGCAGCUUUCCCCUAUUUUUCACACUUUCUAGACUUUCUGCCUCUCCCUCUGCUUAAUCUCACUUUCUCAUACCCUCUCCUUUAAUCUUGGUAUUUCCUUACCUUCCCAGAUCCUACAGCCCUUUGUUUCAGCUCAAACUUCCCAGUCCCUCUGCAAAAACUCCCUGUCUCACUCUGUAACACCCCACGCCUUAUGUAUUUUCCAAGUUUUCUGCUCACUUUCCCAGUCACAAUUAUGGUGCUCUCAACCAACUCAACACUCUCCUGUGCAUACUUACAACAUUCAACUCAUACACCACACUCAAAUGUUCACAUACCCACCAAUUCCAUACUUCUCAAUAUUUAAUCAAAACAUGUAAACUGAAAUAAAGAUUAAAACAAUGGUUUCUGGGGCAUCAACCCCUUGGCCCAGCAGCUAGGCCUUAAUAAAACACACCUCUUCUCAAUUCUGGUUCACAGGAACAACAAAUAUCACCAUAAUCAUACCAUUCUAAUGGCAUAUAAUAUGCCAAUAGCAAGAUCCGGGCAUCAACCCCUGGACCCUAUGCAGAAGGGCCAAAGUCAUUCACAGAAUCACUCUUCACAAGAACUGACAAUAUUCACAUUAAUCACACAAUAUAAAUUUUCAAAAAUCCCACAACGAUCCCAAAGGAUCCCAUUUCGAUUAUAAAUAUUCGAUAUCUCAUGAAAUAUUCAAAGUCAACGAUACACAAUAAAAUCAAGCAUGCCAAACUGUUGAGGCUUCUGUCCCUUGACCCUAUGCAGAAGGGCCAUAGUAUAAUGUCAUUUACUUCUCCAAUGGAAAACACAGCAAUGCACAAAUAUAUUUAUACGAAUAUAAAUAAACCCUAAACACAUAAGUUUUUAAUGAAGCCCUCGGGCAUCAACUUUUCCCCCUAGAACACAAACCUCAACUUCAUUCUAUACUAUGUUCCUAUGCAGUAAAAUUCCUAGGAAAUUCUGUCGCAUCUCUGCUUCCACUCACGUAUUGAGACUCGUCCCGGUUUGCUCGACUUUUUUCUCCAUUUAAUCUCUAGUCCCAUUCUGUCUCUAACCCCUUCCAUCUUUCCCCUUUACUUUCUUUCGCUCAAGGCUUCACUAAUUUUCCACCGAGAAAACCCCAGAUCUGACCCUUUGUAAUUGCUUCGGUCAUCCUCACUCUCCAACUGUUUAUCCUCUCAAAUUUCUAUAUUGAGUCCCCUUUCUAACAUUUUCGAACCGACUCAAUACCAAGCUCAUAAUUCCAACACGAUGCUAAUUCAGUAUGCUAAUUCAGUGUUGUGAAACGAAAAUUAGACUUACCUUGUUUCGGAACGAUGGUAUUAUCGCCCCGCAUUUCACUCACCCUCUCCUCGCAUGGCCUCCUUCUAAGUUUGCUCUCCCUCGUUGUUUCGCCUAUCCUCUUCUUCUGUUCCCCGAAAUGAGAAGUUAUUUUUUCUCUCUCCCUUUCACUCUUCUAUCGUCUCUCUCUCUCCCCCUCUCUCUCUCUUGCGUGGCAGCAAUCCUCUCCUUUACCAGAAAGAGAGUUAGGGUUAAUAUUUAUAUAUGCAUCAUGGCUCGUCUGAUCU